rnacentral:lncRNA from 1 species
UUCUCUCAGUGCUUUUCUUGCGCUAAAACAAACCUCAUACUUCCUCCUCCCCUGUAUAUAAGAGCAUAUCGAGUCUGAAACAAAUCAACAAUCAUCAGCAUCUUAUAUUAUCUUUUCUGCUAGUCCCUAAUUUAAGACACUACAGUUUGCUCUUCUUGUUUCCUGUCCUCCUGCCUUAUAAAAAUGUCUUUCAGUUUCAGAGUUGUAGCUCCAUGGUGCAGGAAGCAUUGUGAAAAUGGCCAUGUUGAUGUUUGGUAUGGCUAUCCUCCUGUAGUCUGCGUUGAAGGAGAUGACGACGAUGAUGGUGGUUAUGACUAUGCUCCAGCGGCAUAAACUCAUUAUCUCUCUCUCAUUCAUUUUGGUUACUACUUCAAAUAGCUAGUAUUAAUUACUGCCUAACUGGUUAAUGAUGAUAAUCUUGUUCUUUUUUGGUUGUAACGAUUAGUACUAACUGAAAAAAACAUUAGAUUCUCUACUAUAGUCUUUAGGUGAUCGUUUUAUGGAUGAUGUAGUGUUGUAACCGUACUUACUUAUAUGUUUUAGCAGCUUUUUGUUAUAUAUGAAGAAUGAAAAACUAUUAUAUGAAUGAAUGUGCAACAGAACAAAUGUUAUUAUACAAUAUAUAUACCCUGUAUACCAACCUCACAUCGUAUAUUUUCA